UAACAAGGAUUCCCCUAGUAACUGCGAGUGAAGCGGGAAAAGCUCAAAUUUAAAAUCUGGCGGUCUUUGGCCGUCCGAGUUGUAAUCUAGAGAAGUGUUAUCCGCGCUGGACCGUGUACAAGUCUCCUGGAAUGGAGCGUCAUAGAGGGUGAGAAUCCCGUCUUUGACACGGACUGCCAGGGCUUUGUGAUGCGCUCUCAAAGAGUCGAGUUGUUUGGGAAUGCAGCUCAAAAUGGGUGGUAAAUUCCAUCUAAAGCUAAAUAUUGGCGAGAGACCGAUAGCGAACAAGUACCGUGAGGGAAAGAUGAAAAGAACUUUGGAAAGAGAGUUAAACAGUACGUGAAAUUGCUGAAAGGGAAACGCUUGAAGUCAGUCGCAUUGUCUGGGAAAUCAACCUUGCUUUUGCUGGGUGUACUUCCUAGUUGAUGGGUCAGCAUCAAUUUUGACCGUUGGAUAAAGUCCAAAGGAAAUGUGGCAUCCUCGGAUGUGUUAUAGCCUUUGGUUGCAUACAACGGUUGGGAUUGAGGAACUCAGCACGCCGAAAGGCCGGGUACUUGUACCACGUUCGUGCUUAGGAUGCUGGCAUAAUGGCUUUAAUCGACCCGUCUUGAAACACGGACCAAGGAGUCUAACAUGCCUGCGAGUAUUUGGGUGGAAAACCCGAGUGCGUAAUGAAAGUGAAAGUUGAGAUCCCUGUCAUGGGGAGCAUUGACGCCCGGACCAGACCUUUUGUGACGGAUCUGCGGUAGAGCAUGUAUGUUGGGACCCGAAAGAUGGUGAACUAUGCCUGAAUAGGGUGAAGCCAGAGGAAACUCUGGUGGAGGCUCGUAGCGAUUCUGACGUGCAAAUCGAU
rnacentral:rRNA from 1 species